GAUGAACGCUGGCGGCGUGCCUAAUACAUGCAAGUCGAGCGAACAGACGAGGAGCUUGCUCCUCUGACGUUAGCGGCGGACGGGUGAGUAACACGUGGAUAACCUACCUAUAAGACUGGGAUAACUUCGGGAAACCGGAGCUAAUACCGGAUAAUAUAUUGAACCGCAUGGUUCAAUAGUGAAUGACGGUUUUGAUGUCACUUCUAGAUGGAUCCGCGCCGCAUUAGCAAGUUGGUAAGGUAACGGCUUACCAAGGCAACGAUGCGUGGCCGACCUGAGAGGGUGAUCGGCCACACUGGAACUGAGACACGGUCCAGACUCCUACGGGAGGCAGCAGUAGGGAAUCUUCCGCGAUGGGCGAAAGCUUGACGGAGCAACGCCGCGUGAGUGAUGAAGGUCUUCGGAUCGUAAAACUCUGUUAUUAGGGAAGAACAAAUGUGUAAGUAACUAUGCACGUCUUGACGGUACCUAAUCAGAAAGCCACGGCUAACUACGUG
rnacentral:rRNA from 1 species